rnacentral:rRNA from 1 species
AAUAGAUACCCGGGUAGUCCACGCCGUAAACGAUGGAUACUAGGUGUGGGAGGUAUCGAACCCUUCCGUGCCGCAGUAAACGCAAUAAGUAUCCCGCCUGGGGAGUACGGCCGCAAGGUUGAAACUCAAAGGAAUUGACGGGGGGCCCGCACAAGCAGCGGAGCAUGUGGUUUAAUUCGAAGCAACGCGAAGAACCUUACCAGAACUUGACAUCUCCUGCAUUACCCGUAAUUGGGGAAGUCCUUCGGGACAGGAAGACGGGUGGUGCAUGGUUGUCGUCAGCUCGUGUCGUGAGAUGUUGGGUUAAGUCCCGCAACGAGCGCAACCCUUAUUGUUAGUUGCCAUCAUUUAGUUGAGCACUCUAAUGAGACUGCCGGGGUACAACUCGGAGGAAGGUGGGGAUGGACGUCAAAUCAUCAUGCCCCCUUAUGUUCUGGGCUACACACGUGCUACAAUGGGCGCAACAACGGGAAGCAAGCUAGUGAUAGUGAGAAAACUCCCUAAAAAUCGCUCUCAGUUCAGAUUGUAGGCUGAAACUCGCCUAC